UACGGGGGGAGCAAGCGUUGUUCGGAUUUACUGGGCGUAAAGGGCGCGUAGGCGGUCAGCACAAGUCAGUUGUGAAAUCUCCGGGCUUAACUCGGAAAGGUCAACUGAUACUGUGCGACUAGAGUGCAGAAGGGGCAACUGGAAUUCUCGGUGUAGCGGUGAAAUGCGUAGAUAUCGGAAGGAACAUCAGUGGCGAAAGCGACUUCCCGGACCAAUACUGACGCUCAUGUGCGAAAGCGUGGGGAGCAAACAGG
rnacentral:rRNA from 1 species